UAGGGAAUCUUAGACAAUGGGGGAAACCCUGAUCUAGCCAUGCCGCGUGUGUGAAGAAGGCCCUAGGGUCGUAAAGCACUUUCGCCAGAGAUGAUAAUGACAGUAUCUGGUAAAGAAACCCCGGCUAACUCCGUGCCAGCAGCCGCGGUAAUACGGAGGGGGUUAGCGUUGUUCGGAAUUACUGGGCGUAAAGCGCACGUAGGCGGAUUAGUAAGUUAGAGGUGAAAUCCCAGGGCUCAACCCUGGAACUGCCUUUAAUACUGCUAGUCUUGAGAUCGAGAGAGGUAAGUGGAAUUCCAAGUGUAGAGGUGAAAUUCGUAGAUAUUUGGAGGAACACCAGUGGCGAAGGCGGCUUACUGGCUCGAUACUGACGCUGAGGUGCGAAAGUGUGGGGAGCAAACAGGAUUAGAUACCCUGGUAGUCCACACCGUAAACGAUGAAUGCCAGACGUCAGCAAGUAUACUUGUUGGUGUCACACCUAACGGAUUAAGCAUUCCGCCUGGGGAGUACGGUCGCAAGAUUA
rnacentral:rRNA from 1 species